rnacentral:rRNA from 1 species
GAUGAACGCUAGCGACAGGCCUAACACAUGCAAGUCGAGGGGCAUCGGGGCGAGGAGCAAUCCUUGCCGCCGGCGACCGGCGCACGGGUGAGUAACGCGUAUGCGACCUGCCCGUUGCAGGGGGAUAAUCGGGAGAAAUCCCGUCUAAUACCGCGUAAUGCCGCGGGGCUGCAUGGCCCUGCGGCCAAAGGAAGCGAUUCCGGCAACGGAUGGGCAUGCGUGACAUUAGCUAGUUGGCGGGGCAACGGCCCACCAAGGCGACGAUGUCUAGGGGUUCUGAGAGGAAGGUCCCCCACACUGGUACUGAGACACGGACCAGACUCCUACGGGAGGCAGCAGUGAGGAAUAUUGGUCAAUGGGCGCGAGCCUGAACCAGCCAAGUCGCGUGAGGGAUGACGGCCCUACGGGUUGUAAACCUCUUUUGUCGGGGAGCAAAUUCCGCCACGUGUGGCGGAGUCGAGAGUACCCGAAGAAAAAGCAUCGGCUAACUCCGUGCCAGCAGCCGCGGUAAUACGGAGGAUGCGAGCGUUAUCCGGAUUUAUUGGGUUUAAAGGGUGCGUAGGCGGACUGUCAAGUCAGCGGUAAAAUACGGGGGCUCAACCUCCGCCCGCCGUUGAAACUGACGGUCUUGAGUGGGCGAGAAGUAUGCGGAAUGCGUGGUGUAGCGGUGAAAUGCAUAGAUAUCACGCAGAACUCCGAUUGCGAAGGCAGCAUACCGGCGCCCAACUGACGCUGAAGCACGAAAGCGUGGGUAUCGAACAGGAUUAGAUACCCUGGUAGUCCACGCAGUAAACGAUGAAUACUAGCUGUCCGGGGCGAAUGAGCCCUGGGUGGCACAGCGAAAGCGUUAAGUAUUCCACCUGGGGAGUACGCCGGCAACGGUGAAACUCAAAGGAAUUGACGGGGGCCCGCACAAGCGGAGGAACAUGUGGUUUAAUUCGAUGAUACGCGAGGAACCUUACCCGGGCUCAAACGACAUAGGAACGUACCUGAAAGGGUUCGGCUCUACGGAGCUUGUGUCGAGGUGCUGCAUGGUUGUCGUCAGCUCGUGCCGUGAGGUGUCGGCUUAAGUGCCAUAACGAGCGCAACCCCCAUCGACAGUUGCUAACAGGUCAGGCUGAGGACUCUGUCGAGACUGCCGGCGCAAGCUGCGAGGAAGGCGGGGAUGACGUCAAAUCAGCACGGCCCUUACGUCCGGGGCGACACACGUGUUACAAUGGCAGGUACAGCGGGAAGCCACCUGGCGACAGGGAGCGGAACCCGAAAGCCUGUCUCAGUUCGGAUUGGAGUCUGCAACCCGACUCCAUGAAGCUGGAUUCGCUAGUAAUCGCGCAUCAGCCACGGCGCGGUGAAUACGUUCCCGGGCCUUGUACACACCGCCCGUCAAGCCAUGGAAGCCGGGGGUGCCUGAAGUGCGCUGCCGCGAGGAGCGCCCUAGGGUAAAACCGGUGACUGGGGCUAAGUCGUAACAAGGUAGCCGUACCGGAAGGUGCGGCUGGAACACCUCCUUUCUGGAGCGGAGCGCGAGCUCGGUUCCCUGGAGAAAACGGAGGCUAACGCACGACCGAGUGGACAAACCCCUUCGGUACUGCUUCGUCUAUUGUUUUAUAUAACGCAUUAUCCUCCUUGACGGAGGUUGAAGUGCAGUCCCUUAGCUCAGUUGGUUAGAGCGCUACACUGAUAAUGUAGAGGUCGGCAGUUCAACUCUGCCAGGGACUACGAUAAAGGAAGAGGACAUUGACAUGCUGGAAGCGAUUCUGAGCAAUCAGAAUCAAGAUACGAGUGAAACAAAUGACGAAAUCAAAGCAUUAGGUAUGCAUAUACGAUGCGACAGAUUGAGUAGGCGAAAAAAUAAACUCUAAGGAAAGGAGACAAGGGCACAUGAAGGAUGCCUUGGCUCUCGGAGGCGAAGAAGGACGUGAUAAGCUGCGAUAAGCCGCGGGGAGGGGCAAAUACCCAUUGAUCCGCGGAUUUCCGAAUGGGGCAACCCGCCGGAAGCGAUUCCGGCACCCGGCUCAUGGCCGGGGGCGAACCCGGGGAACUGAAACAUCUCAAUACCCGGAGGAAGAGAAAAUAACAAUGAUUCCGCAAGUAGUGGCGAGCGAACGCGGAGGAGCCCAAACCCGGGCCGUCGAGGCGGCACCGGGGGUUGUAGGACCGCCCGUCAAGGACGCGCGAACGCUAGGGGGACCGGCUGGAAAGCCGGGCCGGAGAGGGUGACAGCCCCGUACCCGAAAGCGUGAACGCGACAAGGGCGGCACCUGAGUAGCGCGGGACACGAGAAAUCCUGCGUGAAUCCGCGAGGACCAUCUCGCAAGGCUAAACACUACCGAGAGACCGAUAGCGAACC